UUGGUCUGAUCGGCCGCCUGUCACUUGCCCGGGGUUAACCCUUUGGUUGCCUAGUCUAGAGCGCAGUGCUGUCAGGCAUAUUGCAGGUGCUUCCUAUCUAGGCUGUAGUUCGAUUUUUCUUGUGAGACGUGAAUCAUGAGAUCACGAUCAGGCCCACACUAUCUUUCCAGGCUUCCAGUUAUGUGCUCGUGACCCAACCGCCAGUGCUCCGGACCAAUCAGCAUCAGAAACUACGUGAUCCACAUGAUAGACAUAUCGACCAAUUAUUUGGCAAGAUUUUUGUGUUCCUACCAUUUUCCAGAACGUUUCAACAUCCACUGUCAAGUUAUGACCGAGGUAUGAGUUACAAAAUUGCUUGCAAGCUUACAAUAAUUCAAAUUAUCAUAUCUCUUUGACACAGGAAGAUCUACUGAAACUUGAUACAAAUAAGCGCCAUACACAUUUCAGUUUUGUUUCAUUAGGUUUAGUCAAUACAAUUUCUAUAUUUUACAGAUGUGCGCAUCUAUAAUAAUUCUAGUAAAUAAUUUAAACAGUAAAACGAAAAAAAUGAAAACAAAAUCAUGAUAUUUACAACAAUACAACUGGAGAAAGAUGUUCGAAGAUUUAAUAGGACCUAACCCUAACUCUGACCCAGUAGCCUCCAAAUUGAUUCGUUCACCACUACAACAAUCUCACAGGUGUAUGUGUUUUGUCUCACUUUACUUACGUGCCAAGGUUAUUGUAGCCCUUUUAGCAGUUUAGAUAUAAUCUAUUAACUCUUGGAAUGUUAUUUUCAGCAAAAACCUGAGCCAGAGACCAAGUGAGAGAGGUACAUUUCUUCAUUGAUUAUCCCCUUCAGGAAUGUAACAGGGGAAAACGUAUCUAAUAUACAAUUAUAAUAUAGGUAACGCCACCUAACAAUCCAAAGAAAGAAAUAUAUAUAUACACAUAUAUAUAUACAUAUACAUGUUAUACAUCUCAUUAUUAACUAGGCUUAGUUUAACCUCAGCUGUUUCAAAUUGAUAUUGACUUCCUCAUUCUAACUCAUUAAUAAUAUGCAAAUCAGUCUAAUUAUAUUAAAUUUGUAUUUCAUAGCUUUCAAAUUGACAUCCUCACAAGAUUUGAUUUGUCCUAUCCGAACCAGGAUGGUACGUUUCUCCAGACUUCCGGUGUUCCCCAGCAGUCUGAGCUAUACCUCCCCCCAUAGACCAAAUUGUGCAAUAUUCUUGGAGUCAUGAGGGUGGCUGGAAUGAAGGCUAGGAAAUGUUAUUUACAAUGCUAAGAGUGUCUAUGACUUAUCUUAAUAUACAUAUGAAGAUACAUAGAUACAGAGACAGACAAGUGUUGGAUUCAUUUAUUGAAAACCUAUGCAGAAAACCUAUGCAAUAUGAAAUCUGAUACUUUCAUGUGGCCAUGAUUUUAUUUGUACAUCAGCAUGCAUAACAUCUCUCCAUGAGACAGAAUACGGUAGCAAGAUAAAUCUUUUUUUUUACCUCAACUGAUUUCUUAACCAUAUGCUACGUUUUAUGGUAAACAAUACAUUGCAAUAUGCUAAGGCCUUUCAUCAAGACAUCAUCCUUACUAAAUUGGAGUCUGGAUGUCCUUUGCUUCCAAUGAUCCAGUGUCAAGGUGGCCACCAUCAUUCAGUUAUCACAGUACUGUACCUUCCAUGGGCACAGCAUCAGCACUGUGAUAACUGAACCAGGGCAGCCUGGCAAAUCUGGCCGUCCACCGACUCUCCACCACACUCCACACUGUCAAUCACCGGCAGAACUGUGUCACCCUAUUCUGCGUCCAAUAUCUUUCCAUCUUUCCUUUCCCCCUAAUGAGUCACAAUUGAAGUAGGCUUACAUGACUAUUUGGUAUCUGCUACCAAAAAUACCAGACUGAUAUGUUAAUGUGAAAUGACAUCAAAUAUUAACAGGGUUCUAUGUUUAUAAAUAAUUCCCAUAUUUAGAUAUAUAAACUUCCACCAUGGCUGCGGAACAGACUGCACUAUGAACAAUGCUGGAAUUGUAAAUGUUAAGAAGUUAUUGUUAGCUAAUAAUAAAUAAUAUAAAAAUAAAUAAAUAAUAAACAUUUUACUAAUGGAAAUUACUUCACCCUCAAGUAUGCAGUUAUUGGGAAAGCAGGGUGUGUCAUAGAAGAUAAUCCCAAUAAUUGAUCAUGGGUUACAUCAUAUCGGAUCAUGAGCUCAUUCCAUAUACUAAAUCUGCACACAUUGUGCAAUUGUACAAUCAGAGAUACUAUGUUUAAUGUUGAAUAAUAUUGUCAAGUUAUGUCGCAGCCAUUUUUGUUUACUCAAGUUGUAUCUGAUGUAAUGUGGGAGUAGCUCAUUAUAGCUUAUUUUCCUUGUUUGUAGAAGGCAGAUUAUUCAUACUAACCACAAGGACGAGUGACGUCAGACUUGUUGUGAUACUUUUCAGGACUCCGCCCAACCAAGCAGUCCAGUCUCAUCGCGCGUCGACUCCUCCCCGCCUUUUCAUGUAAACAACUCCAUUAGCUGUCUCAGACAAAACAGACGAGUCACUUGCAAAAAACGUUAAAUGUAACCUAUUAUUACGAGCAAGACAUAUAUGGUUAGAUUCAAAAUAACAUAGCCUAAUCUUCGCGGUCAUUCCCGUAACAAAAAUCCUACAUUGCACGAUUGCCAGUUUUUUAAUUACCGAGAAUGCCCUGUAGUGAUAGCGAGACAAGACAUUACCCUACAGCCCAAUCGAGGGAGCAUAAUCAUAUAGUCUACAUGCACAAAAGACUCAUAAGAAAGAACCAUAUAAUAAGCAUGCGUGUCACUGCUAGUUACCUAUUAUUAUCAACCAAAAGUUGGGAAAACAAAAACGUUGAAUCCAAAUUGUCGCUGCAAUAGACGCUGAGGUUUUAAAGGACGUAGGCCUACGUUAAAACCAAUUUAAACGCCUCAUCCAAUGCAAUCUUAUCGUAUCAAAUGUUAUUGUGCAGCCAUACGUUAACGCCCCGAGUUAUACACACCCCCUUCUAGGUAAAAACAAACAAAUGUCACGUUGUGCAAUGGUCCCAAAAAAUAUCAAUGCGUAGGCCUAUUCAAUUCCUUUGCGUAGCUAACAAGUGGGGAAUAAAGAUCGACUCUUCUUACCUCUAAAUAUCCUUCUUAAUUCCCUUGUUUACAUUAAUAUUUUUAAUGACGCAGCAAGAACAUACGGAGCAACGUGAUUGUCGCCAUUUUUUGUUGUUAUUGAAAUAUCUUCAGCCAUGUGACAAACCACAUCUAUUUUUUUUUCUCCAAGCUUCCGGGUCUGGAUGCGAUUAUUAUUAUAAUAUAUAUAAUUAGUUAUCUAAAAUGGUUUAAUCCUCCAAGUUGUUCGGGUCGCUGGUGGACGCUGGUAGGUUUUGCCUGACCGGAGACAGCAGGCUGUGCGCAGUAUUUGACAGCUUUGGGACACUGCCGACGCUGUACGGCUUUCAACAAGUCAGGGUCUUUGCAGCGGCCGACAAGUUCUGGGAGGAGGUGGUCCAUGAAGAAAGAUUCAGCCUUGGGAAGAGUUUCUUGUAGAAAGGGCUCAUCUCUCCGUAGCCGGCAAAUGAUGCUGCUUGUCUUCGUCCACACCAUGAAGUCACACAUGUCCAUUUGAGAAACAUACAUUUGUAACUGGAUCUGUGAGUAAUAUGGGUGGGUGGGUCGCAGGUCAUACCGUCAAAACCUGAACAAAUAACUGUUGCCAGACAGAGGGGGGCUGCCCUUCUUCUCCUGCAAGGAGCAAGGAGAAGACGAAGGGUUUGGGUGCACCCCAUCAAUGAACGGAGACAAGAACAGGGGGUAUGCCACAAUCUGGUCCAGGAGCUCCGUGCAGAUCCUGAGAGGCACGCCAAUAUUUCAAUUCGCUACUAAGUGUGCAAUGGCAGAACCAUAUGGUGCAGCCUAUAUGAUGACCUAUAAUCUAGUUAUUAUCCCUCUCUGGUAUACUCUUUUGCAUAUAUAUACUUUUUUUUUAUCCCUCGGGAUUAAUACAGUGAUGUUAUUGCUGUGCUGGAUUCAGUAGCCAGUGUAUUUUAUUUGAGUGCUCGAGACACUUAAUGUUAUUUUUCCCUAAAUCCAGAGAGACAGUUAAUACAUGAUCUGAUACCAGAGAGACAGUUAAUACAUGACAAUGCAUUUUUGAGCUUUGCCUGUGUUUCCUUUUACUUAUCUAUUUUAUUGUAUGAGAAUGUUUCUAUGUGAAGCACUUUGAGUCUGCUUCAUGUAUUAAAAGUGCUACAUGAAUGAAGUUGCCUUGCCUUAAAUAAAAAUAUAUAUAUUAGGCCUACAAGUAAUCUGGUUUCUACCUACAUGGUGUGAUUAUAUGUGACUUGAUUUCGUCUAUUUCCCAUUAUGGUUAAUGGUUUGGGUACUUACACACACCGGCGCCGCAGCGCAGCGUCGCGUAUUUUACGCGCGUCAAAAGCACGCCUCUAGCACCAACAGGAGGCGGCGCGGCGACUUUCCGUCUCGUAAACGGUCGUUGCCAUUUGAAACGGUCGAUUUGAAACGGUCGAUGCCAUUUCCGAACAUUUCCGAUUGCGUCCGCUCUCCGAUCUUGAAUUGAUUAGCCGCGUUGCCCAAUCAGCGUUGAGCUUGACCCGACGUCACUGGCAGAGAGUAGUGAGCUUGGACAGAAGCAUACGGCCGACAUCUUUCUUUAUUCUGUGUGGAAAUAGUAACAUAGUUACGCCAUUAAAUGCUUUUAUGGAAACAUUUGACAAUAUGAGAAUGUUUCUAUGUGAAGCACUUUGAGUCUGCUUCAUGUAUUAAAAGUGCUAUAUGAAUGAAGUUGCCUUGCCUUAAAUAAAAAAAAAAAUAUUACAAGUAAUCUGGUUUCUACCUACAUGGUGUGAUUAUAUGUGACUUGAUUUCGUCUAUUUCCCAUUAUGGUUAAUGGUUUGGGUACUUAGUCCACCAUUGUUGAUUUCUCACCUGAAGAUCCAAUCUCCAGAGCUAUGGCUCGCCAGGCAAUGACCUUUUUGGAGUUGUCUUUGUAAUGACGGGAACUUUGGUCAUACAAUUCGACGUAUUUUUCCACCUCGACGACCAGUCUCUCAUCGUCCAUUCUCGUAAUUGUUUAUCACAAACGAAAGAGGGCGACAUCCAGUGGUGAGGGGUAGAUAUGGAGGUGCCUACGGGACCCGGGAUGUACAAACCAGCUUUUACAAAGCGCUUUUUCAGGGCGGCGACGCUCGGGAAUAGAACAUCGUCUCGAAGAGUAGUUGGGCGGCGCGGCGCGGAACGCUGCCGCGCGGCUAGUCGGCGCCGGUGUGUGCUAGUACACCCGGAAUAAUGGGGGCAGACUUUUUGACGCGA